ensembl:snRNA U6 U6 spliceosomal RNA
GUGCUCACUUCAGCGGCACAUAUACUAAAAUUGGAAUGAUACAGAGAAGAUUAGCAUGGCCUCUGCACAAGGAAGACAUGCAAAUUCACGAAACGUUCUGUAUUUUU